rnacentral:lncRNA from 13 species
AGCUUAGGUGACAGCUGGAUUGAGAAAAGCUGAUGGCCUGUGCAAAGCUCACAGGUGGCAGGGGCAGAGCUAGGACUCAAACACAGGCAAUCUGACGCCCCAGCUCACAUUUUUAAGCCCCCUGGGUAUUGCCUGUUUUUGAAUGCAGAGAAUGGAAAAGCUCUUGAGACUCUAUUCUUUCAGGUCACACAGUCUAAACUACCCAAUGAGGAAACUGGGGCUGGGGUGAAGUCUACCCAGGAAUCAGGCCCACGGUUGGCUGGACCCACCUCCAGGCUGUCAGGGUCUGCACAGCAGGACAGCUGAAGAACAGCAGGACAGAGGAAGCAUUUGCUAAAGAUGUUCAUAUGGACGGGAGGACAGAAUAACAGCACAGAAACAGAGCCCCACUCCGUCUUUGGAGAAAUAGACAUGAGCGUUCAACCCUUCCUGCUGUCACUUCGAAACUCAGAGGAAGACAUCUGUUUUGACAGGAUCUUGCUCUGUCACCCAGGCUGGAGUGCAGUGGCACAAACACAGCUCAUGGCAAUCUCAACCUCCCGUGCCCAAGCGAUCCUCCUAUCUCCAUCCCUCAAGUAGCUGGGACUACAGGUGAACUCAUGCAGAUGUUGAUAGUUUUACUAUAUACGCAUGUGUCCAUCAACCAUAUGUAAUGGAGUUUGCACAGUUUUAAGCUUUAUAUUAAGGAUAUCAUGUUGCAUGUAACCUUUUAUUUGCUUUUAUUUUUAAAAAUUUUGUUAAACAAUUUGCAUCAAAAUUUUCCAUAUAGGUAAAUGUAGCUCUAGUUCAUUCAUUUUUGCUUACUUUCCAUUUUAUGAAAAUUUUAUACAUUUUUGGUAAUUAAUUCUCCUGUUGAUAAGUAUAUAGGUUUUCUUUUCUUUUUUGCUCUCUCUUAAAAAAUUCUUUUCCUUUCUGCUACUACACACAAUGCAAUAAUGACAUUUUUCUGCAUGGCUCCUGGCAAACAUGAGUAAGUUUCUCUCUGAAGAGGUAGCAUUGCUGCGUUGUAAGAGAUACACAUUUUCAGGUUAUGACAUAUUGCAAAAAGUUGUCCUAAUACUUUACAUUGCUAUGCAAAAUGGCUGAGUGUUUCCUUUAUCCCUUGUUCCCCAAUCUCUCUCUGAAUCAUGGGGCUGAAGCAACCCCACUGUGGUUGUUUCCCCCGGUUACUCUCUGGUCGGUCAAGGUCCUUUCUAACUAGUACACUCAGGACUGAAUGAGAUGAAUUGUAUAUGAUUUGACCCAUAAAGAGCUUGUUAGAACUCUCCUUUUAAGUUUGGCAACAAACGUCUUCUGAAUUUUCUCUCAAUAUCCAUUACCUAAUUUCAAGCAACCACCUCCUCUGUGGCUCACAUUUUCCAUCUUCUCACCAGUAGCCUGGAGGCUCAUAAAAAUAGUUUGACAAAUCUGUACCAUUAAUUCCUUACCUUCUUUAAAGCUGAGAGCUUUCUGAAAGUCAUAUGAGACACACACACACACACACACACACACACACACACACACACGCAAAAUUGCAUCAUUUCGCAUGCAAUUCCAGAAGGCUCACUGACAUCUGAAAGUCAGGGGUAACCCUGCACUGAACUGUGCUGGAGAACAGUUUGCCUUAUUGAAGUGCAUCUAAACUUGGGACUACUGGGAAAUGCCCCAAUGUCCUAAAGGUUUACAGGAAUUUUACUGAAUCUUAAUAUGUUUUUACGGUUAAUAUUGUUUUAAUAUCAAACUCCAACUGCAUUCACGAUGCAGUGGGGUAGAAUGGUGAAAGCUUAGACUCUGCCAUUUCUUGAGUGAGAUGUGUAACCUCUGCUAGCUUCAGUUUCCUUAUCUCACAAAUGGACUCAUGUCUCACAGGAUUCUUCUGUGAAUUAAUCAAAUCUCUCCUAGUGUUUGAAAUGUCGUAAAUAUUUAAUCAAUGCUGGCGCAUUUUUUUUUUUUUUUUUUUUGCCCUACCUUACCCCUUUGAAACUUGGCUAGCAGAUCUACACAAAGAAUCUGAAGUUAGUAUUUCCCUGGGCUGGUGCAGAGCCUUUUGAAACUUCAUAUCUAGUGUUUGUUUCACUGUAGUUCACUCUGUAGUGGAGAAUAAACAUGUUAAUUUUCUCA